GGCCGCGUGGCCCAAUGGCAAGGCGUUUGACUACGAUUCGUCGUAAAUCAAGAGAUUCUGGGUUCGAGCCCCAGCGUGGUCA
rfam:Rhodotorula sp. JG-1b unplaced genomic scaffold RHOSPscaffold_56, whole genome shotgun sequence.